rnacentral:lncRNA from 1 species
CCCUGUUUAUAUGCAUAUAAGAAUUGAACAAAAAUACAACUGAAAAAAGAGACAAAAUCGAUAAACCAACGACCGGGCAGGGCAUCUUGGUGGCAGUGUCUAAGGGGCUCCUCAAAGGCUUCAAUCCUUCUUGAGGCUCUCCAAAGGUUCCUCGAUUGGUCUUCCAGUGCUUCUAUCUACCGAGAGAUUCUACUGUAUUUUGGAGGUUUUCUGGCGACUUCAGAAACUCUUACAUCUCCCUAUAACUUUCACGAUCGGUUAGGAGCCUUAAGAUAAGGAUUUUUAGUGCUUUUGAGCGGACAGAACUUAGGUUCACUCCCUAGGGUGAACUUUUAAAUUCACCCCACACUUUAAGACCAAUCAAAAUGGUACAUAGAUUAUUAAUUAAAAAAUAUUAAAUUAAAUAAACAAUAGCUACAAAAAAUAAAAACGCUAAUUUUAACGACUCUAACGCUUCCGGCUAAACCCUAAAUCUUAAAUUCUAAACCCUAUACCCUAAAUUCUAAACUCAAAUCCAAACCCCUAAACCCAAACUCUAUACCCUAAACCUUAAUCCUAGACCCUAAACCCAAAUAAUGUACCCUAAACCCAAAAACUAGACUAUAAACCUAAACUCUAUACCCUAAAACCAAAUCCUAGACCCUAAAACCAAACCGUAAACCUUAAACCCAAACCCUAUAGCAUCUAAGUUUGGGGUUUGGGUUUAGGGUUUACCGUUUGGGUUUUAGUCUAGGAUUUGGGUUUAGGGUAUAGGUUUUGGGUUUAGGAUUUACUGUUUGGGUUUAGGAUUUACCAUUUGGGUUAAGGUUUACGGUUGGAGUUUAGGGUCCAAGACUUGGGUUUAGGGUAUAGGGUUUAGGUUUAUAGUCUAUUUUUGGGUUUAAGGUAUAUAAUUUGGGUUUAGGGUCUAGGGUUAGGGUUUAGGAUAUAGGGUUUGGGUUUAGGGGUUUGGAUUUGGGUUUAGAAUUUAGGGUAUAUGGUUUAGAAUUUAAGAUUUAGGGUCUAGGGUUUCGCUGGAAGCGUUAGCGUCGUUAAAAUUAGCGCUUUUUAUUUUUUGUAGCUAUUUUUUAUUUAAUUUAAUAUUUUUUAAUUAAUAAUCUAUGUGUCAAUUUAAUUAGUCAUAAAAAGAUGGGGUGAAUUUAAAGGUUCACCCCCUAGAGUGAACCUAAGUUUUGUUCCUUUUGAGCUUUAAAAAGUUAUGCUCAGAUUUCUCAUACUUGGAUGGACCAAAAUUAAUGUUAAUUAAUGAUGCUAUUAAAAAAUUGCAUGCCCAGAAGAAAGAUCUAUACGCCUGAUUGUCUCUGGUUUCCAUCUGCAUGCGUGGCUUCCCGUUAGUCUAUUUCGUAGUGUGAAAAUUUUUCACGACUAGAUGAAUAAACCAAUGGGUUCAAACUUUAACUUGGGCUCCCUUAUAUUGGAAAAACGAAUAUUGCGUUGCUUGAAUUGAAUGAAUAAAGUUAAUGUAAACCAAAAAAUACAAAAAAUCUAUGAAAACUAUCACACUUAAGCAAAAUUUUAUAACACAAAAGAGUUUAUUUAGAUAGAAGUCCGUUAAAUUACAUAUAGGAAAAAGAAACUAGAUUAACCUUGACAGUUAAUUAAGAGAUUAAAAGUGAUUCUGAUUAACAAAGAGAUACUUUUCUACAUUAAUGGGAAGCCCUGUUUUAUCUAAUUAAGAAGAGUCACCCACACUAUCUAGUACCUACAUGGCCUAGCUAGGUAUAUAAAUACCAUAUCAUCUCUUUUCCCCUCCUAAUUUACAUUUUAUACUAAUAGGAAACAAAUUACGCAGCAGGAGCAUAAUCGUAGCCACCGUCAUCGUCAUCACCACCAUUUUCAAUAUACGCCGCUCGAGACGUAUCCACCACACCGUCAAAACUCUUAAUGACCAAGUGUGCGACUAAAUACAUGAUUACUUAUUGGUUAUGAAAGUAGAGAGAUGAAAGGCUUGAAGAGGCCUAGAGAGAGAGAGAGAGAGGGAAUAAGUGAAAUAAGUUUGUAAUAUGGAUGUGAAUUUGGU